UACGAAGGGGGCUAGCGUUGUUCGGAAUUACUGGGCGUAAAGCGCACGUAGGCGGAUAUUUUAAGUCAGGGGUGAAAUCCCGGGGCUCAACCCCGGAACUGCCUUUGAUACUGGGUAUCUCGAGUCCGAGAGAGGUGAGUGGAAUUCCGAGUGUAGAGGUGAAAUUCGUAGAUAUUCGGAGGAACACCAGUGGCGAAGGCGGCUCACUGGCUCGGUACUGACGCUGAGGUGCGAAAGCGUGGGGAGCAAACAGG
rnacentral:rRNA from 1 species